rnacentral:rRNA from 1 species
UACGUAGGGUGCAAGCGUUAAUCGGAAUUACUGGGCGUAAAGCGUGCGCAGGCGGUUAUGUAAGACAGUUGUGAAAUCCCCGGGCUCAACCUGGGAACUGCAUCUGUGACUGCAUAGCUAGAGUACGGUAGAGGGGGAUGGAAUUCCGCGUGUAGCAGUGAAAUGCGUAGAUAUGCGGAGGAACACCGAUGGCGAAGGCAGCCCCCUGGGUCAAAACUGACGCUCAUGCACGAAAGCGUGGGGAGCAAACAGG